UCGAGGAUAUUUAGCAAUGGGCGAAAGCCUGACUAUGUGACGCCGCGUGAGGGAUGAAGGCCUUCGGGUUGUAAACCUCUUUCGAUAGGGAAGAACACCUGCACUAACACUGCAGAUUGACGGUACCUAUAGAAGAAGCCAUGGCCAACUCUGUGCCAGCAGCCGCGGUAAUACAGAGAUGGCGAGCGUUACUCGGAUUUAUUGGGUGUAAAGGGCAGGUAGGCGGCUAUACAAGUUGAGGGUGAAAUCCUGCGGCUCAACCGCAGAACUGCCUUCAAAACUGUAUGGCUUGAGGUCGGAAGAGGAAAGCGGAAUUCCCGGUGUAAGGGUGAAAUCUGUAGAUAUCGGGAGGAACACCAGUGGCGAAGGCGGCUUUCUGGUCCGACCCUGACGCUAAGCU
rnacentral:rRNA from 1 species